AGGCCGUUAGUUUAAGAAAAACCCUUGAUUUCGGCUCAAGAACUUGUGGUUAAAGUCCACAACCGUCUAAUG
rnacentral:tRNA from 1 species